CUAACAUCUGGUACUCAAGGAGAACCCGUGAGGGAAAAUAAACUUGAGUGGAAAAUCAGUUCUUUGGCUAGAGAGCUACUAAGAAUUCUGAUCCUUGUUUAACAAAUGGUGUAAUUCAGGAGGAGGAUUCCACAGCCAUAAAGGUGGGAGAUUGGCAGAUCCUGCAAGCUGGGCAACAGUGUGGGCUACAGCGUUUCCCUCUCUGGGAGUCCAGGCUUCUAUCAGGGAUAAACAAUCAGAUUCAAAAUGGACCUUUUGCAGUACAACCUUCUUUUCCGUGCCCAUAUGCUUCACCGUUCGCUUCCCUGAAGAUGUAAGAAACAAUAAUACACUCCAACUCACCCAUCCAAUUGUAUAGUCUCAUACCUAUCCAGUCUCAGAAUACCUCUUGCUCGAAUGCAAGAUCGGUUCAUUCAUGUGACCCUCUGCCUAGAAGCCUUCCAGGAGCCACUCCUUGUCCGUGCCUCACUGCACCAGCGAUAACUCCCCGCCCUCGUCGAGCCCGGGUGUCACAUUCAUCUUUGAAUUGAAACCAAGAUCUGUCUCACCCCUUAUGAGACUUGGGCCUAUUUCUUUAUUACUAGAAUUCAUAGAUCUUGUUAUCACUUAAAGACUGUAGAGGCAUUCAGAUCCAAUUUUGAGGGAGGUUUUGCUGAAUCUUGAGCUAUGCAAUUGUUGAGAAUUCAAGUGUAGAGUUGGAGUCCCACAUUUGUUAAGUUUGGAUGAGGAGAAGACUUUAUAAGAGAUGUGACCCAUAAACCUAAUGCCUUAAGAUUUUGGGUUAAGAUGUGGCGUCGAUAUCUUUUGGUUUCUUGCUUCUCGACUCAUGGGCUCCCUUGUCUCCCCCCAACAAGUGGUAUCAGAGUCGAUGGUUCGUGGGACCAAGGUAACGACUCCUUGUGUCGAAAGUAUUCCUAGUAGUGUGGCUAGGCGGCGAGUUUCGUUGAGCAGCGAACGACGGUACAAGGGUGGAUAACUUCCGCAGAGGGGAGCCAUGAUAAUGUGGUGGUUACUCGCACUUGAGGGGGAGAUUGUUGAGAAUUCAAGUUCGAAGUUGGAGUCCCACAUUGGUUAAGUUUGGGUGAGGAGAAGACUUUAUGAGAGAUGUGAUCCAUAAACCUAAUGCCUUAAGGUUUUGGGUUAAGAUGUGGCGUCGAUAUCUCUUGGUGUCUUGCUCCUCAGCCCAUGAGCUCCCCUAUCUCUCACAACAACAAUCGUGUGUGCAAAUUUGUUCCUAGAUCUUGUCACCUAGAUAAAACCCCAAUAUCUUAUAUCCCUUACAAUUUGUUCAA